GACGUAGGGCGCGAGCGUUGUCCGGAUUUAUUGGGCGUAAAGAGCUCGUAGGCGGCUUGUCGCGUCGGCUGUGAAAACCCGCGGCUCAACUGUGGGCGGGCAGCUGAUACGGGCAGGCUGGAGUUCGGUAGGGGAGACUGGAAUUCCUGGUGUAGCGGUGAAAUGCGCAGAUAUCAGGAGGAACACCAGUGGCGAAGGCGGCUUCCUGGCCUGCAACUGACGCUGAGACGCGAAAGCGUGGGGAGCGAACCGG
rnacentral:rRNA from 1 species